rnacentral:rRNA from 1 species
AUUGAACGCUGGCGGCAUGCCUUACACAUGCAAGUCGAACGGCAGCACGGGAGCAAUCCUGGUGGCGAGUGGCGAACGGGUGAGUAAUAUAUCGGAACGUGCCCAGUCGUGGGGGAUAACGCAGCGAAAGCUGUGCUAAUACCGCAUACGAUCUAAGGAUGAAAGCGGGGGAUCGCAAGACCUCGCGCGAUUGGAGCGGCCGAUAUCAGAUUAGCUAGUUGGUGGGGUAAAGGCCCACCAAGGCGACGAUCUGUAGCUGGUCUGAGAGGACGACCAGCCACACUGGAACUGAGACACGGUCCAGACUCCUACGGGAGGCAGCAGUGGGGAAUUUUGGACAAUGGGCGCAAGCCUGAUCCAGCAAUGCCGCGUGCAGGAUGAAGGCCUUCGGGUUGUAAAGCACUUUUGUUCGGGACGAAACGGUUUGGGCUAAUACCCUGAGCUAAUGACGGUACCGAAAGAAUAAGCACCGGCUAACUACGUGCCAGCCGCCGCCGUAA